GAAGGGGGCUAGCGUUGUUCGGAAUUACUGGGGCGUAAAGCGCAUGCAGGCGGAUCGCUAAGUCGGGGGUGAAAGCCCGAGGCUCAACCUCGGGAACUGCCUUCGAUACUGGCGAUCUUGAGUCCGGGAGAGGUGAGUGGAACUCCGAGUGUAGAGGUGAAAUUCGUAGAUAUUCGGAAGAACACCAGUGGCGAAGGCGGCUCACUGGCCCGGUACUGACGCUGAGAUGCGAAAGCGUGGGGAGCAAACAGGAUUAGAUACCCUGGUAGUCCACGCCGUAAACGAUGGAUGCUAGCCGUCAGCCAGCAUGCUGGUUGGUGGCGCAGCUAACGCAUUAAGCAUCCCGCCUGGGGAGUACGAUCGCAAGAUUA
rnacentral:rRNA from 1 species